GCUUCAUUGACUACAAGAAAGCCUCUGGUAUCAGCCACCUGGAGCGGCAGGUGCUGAGAUCCAGAACCGCUGCUGAGAAUGCAGAAAAAGUCGAGGAUGAGCUGAAAGCAGAGAAGAGGAAGCUACAAAGAGAGCUCUGAACAGCACUGGACAAGAUCGAGGAGAUGGAGAUGACCAACAGCCACCUGGCCAAGCGGCUGGAGAAGAUGAAGGCCAACAGGACGGCGCUGCUGGCCCAGCAGUAGGGCCCCGCCCGGCCCCAGGCCCGCCCCGAGGGGCUGCCCUUCGGCCACUGACGCAGACCCCUUUCAGGACUGUUUGAGCUUUGGCAUUCAGAUAGCCACCUUUGUAUUUUCUAAUUUAUGAGAGAAUGAAACAGGUUUGAAUCUUCAUGAAUGAACACUUUGUGUGUAGUUUGAUUCUAGACUAAGAACUAGUCCAUGCCGUUAUUUUUCAUUUCCGUAAUUUUAGAAUCAAGUUUACUCCCCAUUUUCCCCAGCCGCCUCAGUGACUGGGCCCGGCUCUGGAGGACAGCGGCUCAGCGCCCGCUGAGACACUUCCUGGAGACCUCAGAAACACAAGUGCCUUCUCCACGGUGCAGUUCAGACUCCAGUGAUCUCCAGGGGCCAAGAGACACUUACCCUUAAUAUCAGGUACCCAGUUCAAGAGGAUUUUGCCGUGGAGUGUGUAGCCAUGUUGCAGUAUUUGUGAUUCUCUGUUGUUCUCAGAAUCGAAGUGGUUUUAUGGAAAUGAUUAUUGUAUCUUCAACGUGUUUACACAAAAAAUACGGGGGAAGUCUAAUGAAUUAAGGCCACAUAAGAUAAAAUUAGACAUGAAACUAGGUAAUAAAGUUAACUUAAAUAUGAAAAAAAAAAGAAAGCCUCUGACUGUGUGGAUCACAACAAACUGCGAAAAAUUCUUAAAGAGAUGGGAAUACCAGACCACCUUAUCUGCCCCUUGGGAAACCUGUAUGCAGGUCAAGAAACAACAGUUAGAACCAGACAUGGGACAACUGACUGGUUCAAAAUUAGGAAAGGAGUACGUCAAGGCUGUAUAUUGUCACCCUGCUUCUUUAACUUAUAUGCUGAGUACAUCAUGUGAAGUGCCGGGCUGGAUGAAUCACAAGUUGGAAUCAAGAUUGCUGGGAGAAAUAUCAACAACUUUAGAUACGCAGAGGAUGCCACUCUAAUGGCAGAAAGCGAAGAGGAAUUAAAGAGGAGAAUGAAAAAACUGGCUUAAAACUCAACAUUCAAAAAACUCAGGAAACUCAAACAGGGGUUCUGUAUCAAUCUAGAGCAGUGGGAUGGGGCAGGAGAUGGGAGGGACGUUCAAAAGGGAGGGGAUAUAUGUAUGACUAUGGCUGAUUCUGGAGAAGGAAAUGGCAUCCCACUCCAGUAUUC
ensembl:lncRNA